GGGUGAGUAAUGUCUGGGAAACUGCCCGAUGGAGGGGGAUAACUACUGGAAACGGUAGCUAAUACCGCAUAACGUCGCAAGACCAAAGAGGGGGACCUUCGGGCCUCUUGCCAUCGGAUGAACCCAGAUGGGAUUAGCUAGUAGGUGGGGUAAAGGCUCACCUAGGCGACGAUCCCUAGCUGGUCUGAGAGGAUGACCAGCCACACUGGAACUGAGACACGGUCCAGACUCCUACGGGAGGCAGCAGUGGGGAAUAUUGCACAAUGGGCGCAAGCCUGAUGCAGCCAUGCCGCGUGUAUGAAGAAGGCCUU
rnacentral:rRNA from 1 species